UACGAAGGGGGCUAGCGUUGUUCGGAAUUACUGGGCGUAAAGGGCGCGUAGGCGGUCCGCUAAGUUCGGCGUGAAAUCCCCUGGCUCAACUGGGGAACGGCGCUGGAUACUGGUGGACUCGAGUACCGGAGAGGAGAGUGGAAUUCCUGGUGUAGCGGUGAAAUGCGUAGAUAUCAGGAGGAACACCGGUGGCGAAGGCGGCUCUCUGGACGGAUACUGACGCUGAGGCGCGAAAGCGUGGGGAUCAAACAGG
rnacentral:rRNA from 1 species